GACGAACGCUGGCGGCGUGCUUAACACAUGCAAGUCGAACGGAAAGGCCCUGCUUUUGUGGGGUGCUCGAGUGGCGAACGGGUGAGUAACACGUGAGUAACCUGCCCUUGACUUUGGGAUAACUUCAGGAAACUGGGGCUAAUACCGGAUAGGAGCUCCUGCUGCAUGGUGGGGGUUGGAAAGUUUCGGCGGUUGGGGAUGGACUCGCGGCUUAUCAGCUUGUUGGUGGGGUAGUGGCUUACCAAGGCUUUGACGGGUAGCCGGCUUGAGAGGGUGACCGGCCACAUUGGGACUGAGAUACGGCCCAGACUCCUACGGGAGGCAGCAGUGGGGAAUAUUGCACAAUGGGCGGAAGCCUGAUGCAGCAACGCCGCGUGCGGGAUGACGGCCUUCGGGUUGUAAACCGCUUUCGCCUGUGACGAAGCGUGAGUGACGGUAAUGGGUAAAGAAGCACCGGCUAACUACGU
rnacentral:rRNA from 1 species